GACGAACGCGGGCGGCGUGCCUAAUACAUGCAAGUAGAACGCUGAAGAGAGGAGCUUGCUCUUCUGGAUGAGUUGCGAACGGGUGAGUAACGCGUAGGUAACCUGCCUUGUAGCGGGGGAUAACUAUUGGAAACGAUAGCUAAUACCGCAUAACAAUGAGUGACACAUGUCAUUUAUUUGAAAGGGGCAAUUGCUCCACUACAAGAUGGACCUGCGUUGUAUUAGCUAGUAGGUGAGGUAACGGCUCACCUAGGCGACGAUACAUAGCCGACCUGAGAGGGUGAUCGGCCACACUGGGACUGAGACACGGCCCAGACUCCUACGGGAGGCAGCAGUAGGGAAUCUUCGGCAAUGGGGGCAACCCUGACCGAGCAACGCCGCGUGAGUGAAGAAGGUUUUCGGAUCGUAAAGCUCUGUUGUAAGUCAAGAACGAGUGUGAGAGUGGAAAGUUCACACUGUGACGGUAGCUUACCAGAAAGGGACGGCUAACUACGUGCCAGCAGCCGCGGUAAUACGUAGGUCCCGAGCGUUGUCCGGAUUUAUUGGGCGUAAAGCGAGCGCAGGCGGUUUGAUAAGUCUGAAGUUAAAGGCUGUGGCUCAACCAUAGUUCGCUUUGGAAACUGUCAAACUUGAGUGCAGAAGGGGAGAGUGGAAUUCCAUGUGUAGCGGUGAAAUGCGUAGAUAUAUGGAGGAACACCGGUGGCGAAAGCGGCUCUCUGGUCUGUAACUGACGCUGAGGCUCGAAAGCGUGGGGAGCGAACAGG
rnacentral:rRNA from 1 species